GCCGCCCUCAGACCCCUUGUGAAGCCCAAGAUCGUCAAAAAGAGAACCAAGAAGUUCAUCCGGCACCAGUCAGACCAUUAUGUCAAAAUUAAGCGUAACUGGUGGAAACCCAGAGGCAUUGACAACAGGGUUCGUAGAAGAUUCAGGGUCCAGAUCUUGAUGCCCAACACUGGUUAUGGGAGCAACAAAAAAACAAAGCACAUGCUGCCCAGUGGCUUCCGGAAGUUCCUGGUCCACAACGUCAAGGAGCUGGAAGUGCUGCUGAUGUGCAACAAUCGUACUUGUGCCGAGAUCGCUCACAAUGUUUCCUCCAAGAACCGCAAAGCCAUCGUGGAAAGAGCUGCCCAACUGGCCAUCACAGUCACCAACCCCAGUGCCAGGCUGUGCAGCGAAGAAAAUGAGUAG
rnacentral:lncRNA from 1 species